GACGAACGCUGGCGGCGUGCCUAAUACAUGCAAGUUGAGCGCUGAAGGUUGGUACUUGUACCAACUGGAUGAGCAGCGAACGGGUGAGUAACGCGUGGGGAAUCUGCCUUUGAGCGGGGGACAACAUUUGGAAACGAAUGCUAAUACCGCAUAAAAACUUUAAACACAAGUUUUAAGUUUGAAAGAUGCAAUUGCAUCACUAAAAGAUGAUCCCGCGUUGUAUUAGCUAGUUGGUGAGGUAAAGGCUCACAAAGGCGAUGAUACAUAGCCGACCUGAGAGGGUGAUCGGCCACAUUGGGACUGAGACACGGCCCAAACUCCUACGGGAGGCAGCAGUAGGGAAUCUUCGGCAAUGGACGAAAGUCUGACCGAGCAACGCCGCGUGAGUGAAGAAGGUUUUCGGAUCGUAAAACUCUGUUGGUAGAGAAGAACGUUGGUGAGAGUGGAAAGCUCAUCAAGUGACGGUAACUACCCAGAAAGGGACGGCUAACUACGUG
rnacentral:rRNA from 1 species